rfam:Camelus ferus unplaced genomic scaffold scaffold1652, whole genome shotgun sequence.
GGUACUGCUCAGUGGUAGAGCGCAUGCCUAGCAUGCAGGAGAUCCUGGGUUCAAUCCCCAGUACCA